UUUUUGAUAAUAAUUUAAAGUAGGGCCUGCCCACUGAAUUGAUUUGAAGGGCCGCAGUAUUUUGACUGUGCAAAGGUAGCAUAAUCAUUAGUUUUUUAAUUGAAAGCUUGUAUGAAUGGUUUGAUGAAAAAAUGACUUUCUUAGUUUUAAUAUUUAAGAACUUUAUUUUUAAGUUAAAAAGCUUAAAUUUCUUUAAAAGACGAGAAGACCCUAUAGAGUUUAAUUUACAUUAAAUUUUUAAUUUUAGGAAUUUUUAGGUUUUAAUUUUAUAAUAAAUUUGAUUGGGGUGAUAAAAAAAUUAAAGUAACUUUUAUAAAUUAUAAACAUAAAUUUAUGGUUUAUUGAUCCAUUUAUAUGAUUAAAAGAUUAAAUUACCUUAGGGAUAACAGCGUAAUUUUUUUUUAGAGUUCAGAUCGAAAGAAGAGAUUGCGACCUCGAUGUUGGAUUAAAGUUAAAAUUAGGUGUAGAAGCUUAAUUAUUUGGUCUGUUCGACCAUUUAAACUUUACA
rnacentral:rRNA from 1 species